rnacentral:piRNA from 1 species
UGCUCUUGGGCUUUACCUCGUCAGGCUAAC